rnacentral:rRNA from 1 species
CCAAUAGCGUAUAUUAAAGUUGUUGCAGUUAAAAAGCUCGUAGUUGAACUUCGGGGUCUACCCAUUGGUCAGGCUUAAUUGUCUGCACUGGUGAGAUGGAUCUCUACCUUCUGAGGAACUUUCAUGCCAUUUAUUUGGUGUGAUGGGGAAUCAGGACUGUUACUUUGAAAAAAUUAGAGUGUUUAAAGCAGACUAUCGUCUGAAUACAUUAGCAUGGAAUAAUGAAAUAGGACGGACUGAUUCUAUUUCGUUGGUUUCUAGGAUUGACGUAAUGAUUAAUAGGGAUAGUUGGGGGCAUUAGUAUUCAAUUGUCAGAGGUGAAAUUCUUGGAUUUAUUGAAGACUAACUACUGCGAAAGCAUUUGCCAAGGAUGUUUUCAUUAAUCAAGAACGAAAGUUAGGGGAUCGAAGACGAUCAGAUACCGUCGUAGUCUUAACCAUAAACUAUGCCGACUAGGGAUCGGAUGAUGUUAAUUUUUUAAUGACUCAUUCGGCGCCUUACG